rfam:Microcystis aeruginosa NIES-843 DNA, complete genome.
GGGGCCGUAACGGUUUCGACAGGUUAGCGAAAGCUCCCCCGUGAUACAGGUCGAGAGUGAGUCUCCUCUCGUAAAUCAAAGGCUCAAACAAAAAGUAAAUGCGAACAACAUCGUUCCUUUCGCUCGUAAAGCCGCUCCUGUAGCUGCCUAAUAGUCUCUAAUCGACUCGAGCAUUCAUGGUUUGACUCCGUUAAGGACUAUGGAUAAACCCCCAACGGAUGCCACGUUUAACUUUCUCUAGUUAGUUAACCGUCUAAGCUUUAACUAGAGCAUCCCACUGUCCGGGAUAAGUGACAGUCCCCGUUUCGAGGGUAAUCGAAACUAAACCUGUGAAUGAACGGACAGUCAAUACCUAAUUUGGACAGCAGUUCGACUCUGCUCGGCUCCAUUG